AGAGCUGGAGAGGAGGCAAGAUGUUGGCAUAGCUGUUGAACUGAGAACCUGCUAUGCCAACAUAUUGCCAUCUUUCUUG
rnacentral:pre_miRNA from 15 species